GAUGAGAACGCAGCGAAAUGCGAUAAGUAAUGUGAAUUGCAGAAUUCAGUGAAUCAUCGAAUCUUUGAACGCACAUUGCGCCCGCCAGUAUUCUGGCGGGCAUGCCUGUUCGAGCGUCAUUUCAACCCUCAAGCCCAGCUUGGUGUUGGGGAUCGGCACAGGCGCCCUCGGGCGCCCGCCGUCCCCUAAAUCUAGUGGCGGUCCCGCUGCAGCCUCCUCUGCGUAGUAGUUUUCUCCUCGCAAGGGCAGCUCGGUGGCGACCUCGCCGUAAAACCCCCAACUUCUGAAAGGUUGACCUCGAAUCAGGUAGGAAUACCCGCUGAACUUAAGCAUAUCAAUAAGCGGAGGA
rnacentral:misc_RNA from 1 species